UCAAAGGUGACAUGGAGUUUGAUGUGGCGCUCUGCCAGUCCGAGCUGACUGAGAGAGCCCUGCAGCUCUGCCAUCUCCUGCCUCCGGGCUUCAUGCCACCCUGUCAGCCGUCCCAGAGUUUUGCUCUGGAUGCAGUUGACAGUCUCGUACGCUGUGGCAUCCUGAUUAUGGAAGAAAUUCCCAGGGACGUUCCC